UACGAAGGGGGCUAGCGUUGCUCGGAAUCACUGGGCGUAAAGGGCGCGUAGGCGGCCGAUCAAGUCAGAGGUGAAAGCCCAAGGCUCAACCUUGGAACUGCCUUUGAUACUGUUUGGCUAGAGACCGGAAGAGGUAAGUGGAACUGCGAGUGUAGAGGUGAAAUUCGUAGAUAUUCGCAAGAACACCAGUGGCGAAGGCGGCUUACUGGUCCGGUUCUGACGCUGAGGUGCGAAAGCGUGGGGAGCAAACAGG
rnacentral:rRNA from 1 species